AAUAGAUGCUUUCAGGAUUAUGAUGUUNUAGCUUAUAUAGCCUUCAUUCAUGCGUGCAUCUUGAAUGUACAAGUCUUUGAAUGUGUUUAUAUAAGUGGAGUCGUACCUGUUGGUUUGUCCCAUUAUAAGGACACUAGCUUUUAAAUGGACAAAUUGCGUCUAGCAGU
rnacentral:rRNA from 1 species